rnacentral:lncRNA from 1 species
CAACAACAACAACAACAAAGCCUUUUCCCACUAAGUGGGGUCGGCAAUAUGAAUCCUAGAACGCCAUUGCGCUCGGUUUUGUGUCAUGUCCUCCGUUAGAUCCAAGUACUCUAAGUCUUUUCUUAGAGUCUCUUCCAAAGUUUUCCUAGGUCUUCCUCUACCCCUUCGGCCCUGAACCUCUGUCCCGUAGUCACAUCUUCGAACCAGAGCGUCAGUAGGCCUUCUUUGCACAUGUCCAAAUCACCGGAACCGAUUUUCUCUCAUCUUUCCUUCAAUUUCGGCUACUCCUACUUUACCUCGGAUAUCCUCAUUCCCAAUCUUAUCAUUUCUCGUGUGCCCACACAUCCCACGAAGCAUCCUCAUCUCUGCUACACCCAUUUUGUGUACGUGUUGAUGCUUCACCGCCCAACAUUCUGUGCUAUACAACAUCGCUGGCCUUAUUGCCGUCCUAUAAAAUUUUCCCUUGAGCUUCAGUGGCCUACGACGGUCACACAACACGCCGGAUGCACUCUUACACUUCAUCCAUCCAGCUUGUAUUCUAUGGUUGAGAUCUCCAUCUAAUUUUCCGUUCUCUUGCAAGAUAGAUCCUAGGUAGCGAAAACGGUCGCUUUUUGUGAUCUUCGCUAGAUUGCUCCGGUCAUUAGUGUGGAUAAGUAUAUAAAUGGAUAGAGAUAGGAAAGCAAACACAAGAUGUACAUGAUUCACCCAGAUUGGCUACGUUCACGGAAUAGAAGAGUUCUCAUUAAUUGUGAAGGGUUUACACAAGUACAUAGGUUCAAGCUCUCCUUUAGUGAGUACAAGUAAAUGAUUUAGUACAAAUGACAUUAGGAAAUAUUGUGGGAGAAUGAUCUCGUAAUCACGAAACUUCUAAGUAUCGGAGUGUGGUAUCGUCUUGACUUGCCUUAUCUGUCUCAUAGGUAGAUGUGACAUCUUCUCUGGAAGUACUCUUCCUCCAUCCAGGGGUGGUAUCUUUAACUGGUGGAGAUGCACAAGGUAAUGUAUCAAUUUCACUUGAAGCUUACUUGUAGUUUCAAGCUUGGUCAAGCGCGAUACAAACCAUGUAGUAGGAGUCCCCAAGUCGCCGAGCUAGGGGAUCUGCUGAAAGAGGUGACAGACAAGGUAAGCAAUCAGAGCUCCGGCUGAUUGUUCACAUUCUCCUUAUCUUGCAGGCAGCAUGAAGGAUAAAGAGAAGAAAAAUGAGAAGAGAUGAUAUGGGAUACUUUUGCUUUUGAAGAAGUAACUUUCCACAGGCUUAUUCUUGAACUGAGCUGGAGGGUUUUCUGGUUUCCUCCAGAGUAUAAGGCCGACUGAAAAAUUUGAGGGUCAAAACAAGUCCAUCAAAUCUAGAGUAUGUUCGACCCUGCUGAUAUGAGAUACUUUUGCUUUUGACAGAGUAAUGGAUGUAUUGGCACGUGUGAUGUUACACUUGUCUCCACAUGCUUCCUUGUAUCCUUCUCACUUGCCCUAUCUGUUCCUCAGGCAGAUGCGGUAUCUUCCCUAGGAGCAUAAGAUGUUGAAGAUGAGUACUCGAGAGCAAUGCCAGGUAAGUAAUCAGGUAAAGGGUUCCAGGCAGUCAGUUCCUGGCUCGAAGCUUGAUUCCAAGUGCUGACUGAUUGCUCUCUUUCUCCUUGUCUUGCAGGUAAGAACAAGGCCAAAGGAAAAGACAGGGAAAAAGCAUGAUAUGGGAUACUCUUGCUUCUCGAGAGCUAGACUCCCAACAUGAUUACUUUUUCAAAAAUCGAAGAGACACCCCUCUCCGAAUCUCGAGAGCCAGACCCCCGCAUGAUUGCUUUCUCAAAAAUCGAAGAGGCAUCGUUCUCCGAAUCUCGAGAGCCAGAUCCUCGAUAGGAUUGCUUGUUCGAAAAUCAAAGAGGCACCACUUUCCCAACUUCAAGAGCCGGAUCUCCUUGGAUAAAGCUUGUCUGUAAUCUUCACACGCAACAUCAGCUUUCCAGAUACCACAUACCACUUUUUCAAAGUGCUCUGACAGAGUUAAAACAUGUGAAGCUGGCAGCUCCCACUACCGUGCUAUGACCAAGCAGGGUAAAGGAAUAGCAUUACUACUUGUUGUUAGGGAGACUCCUAUAUAUGUCGACCUCCAUCCCUAACGGACAGGCAGACCUGCAAAAAUGCUCAACCCUUCCUUAUAUCUGAGAGGGCACUCCCAACGAAGCCUUUCGAAAUAUUCAGCUUUCUUCCCCCCCCCCGAUAAUACCUCUGCAAACAAGCUAUACUAGAGCAAGAAUAUCUCAUAUCAUCAGGAAGGCGGUGCCUCUUCGAUUUUGGAGCAAGCAAUCUUGUUAUGAGUGUUUUCUCGAAUGUGAGUAAAGGUUGGGCAUGUUUGCUAGUCUACCUUGCCACGAAGCACAAAGGUUGACACACAGGGACUUUCCAAUUAUCCAGCAAUGGUACUGUUCCUUUACCCUCUUCAAUUUUUGAGAAAGUAGUCAUGUUGGGAGUCUGGCCCUCGAGAUGCGGAGGACGGUGGAUUUUGGAGCAAGCAAUCUGAUUGGGAGUGUUUUCUCGAAAGUGAGUAAAGGUUGGGCAUGUUUGCUAGUCUACCUUGCCACGAAGCACAGAGGUUGACACACGGGGACUUUCCAAUUAUCCAGCAGUGGUACUGUUCCUUUACCCUUGUGGGUAAUAAUAUGGUAGCUAGACCUUCAAAAUUUAUGUGUCUAAACUUUGUUAGUGCUGUUUCUUUGCUAUUCUUUUAACCUUCUUGGUCAGAGCGAUGUAGUGGGAGCUGCAAGCUUCACGUGCUCAACUUUGGCAGAGAACUUUGGCAAAGUUAUCUGUGGUACCUAUGAGCUAUUGUUGCGUGUGGGAAGUGGGUGAUUGAACAGUAAGAUUCAUGUGCUUUCUACUUCACCAGAAGUCUUCGACAGAAUGCCCAUAAUUUCCGCAAAGUUGAGUGUGCGUGUGACAGGUGCUGACAAGGCUGGAAAAGUAGGCGCCUCUUCGAUUUCUGAGAUCGGCCCUCGUGGUCUCUGAGCAGCCCAGCUUUUGAGAAAGCGAGCACCUCUUCGAUUGAUUCGGAGAACAAUGCCUCUUCGAUUUUUGAGAAAGCAAUCGCGCUGGGGGUCUGGCUCUCGAGAUUCGGAGAGCGGUGUCUCUUCGAUUUUUAAGAAAGUAAUCAUGUUGGGAGUCUGGCUCUCGAGAUUCGGAGGGCGGUGCCUCUUCGAUUUUGGAGCAAGCAAUCUUGUUGGGAGUGUUUUCUCGAAUGUGAGUAAAGGUUGUGCAUGUUUGCUAGUCUACCUUGCCACGAAGCACAGAGGUUGACACACAUGGACUUUCCAAUUAUCCAGCAAUGGUACUGUUCCUUUACCCUCUCUUCGAUUUUUGAGAAAAUAGUCAUGUUGGGAGUCUAGCUCCCGAGAUUCGGAGGACGGUGCCUCUUCGAUUUUGGAGCAAGCAAUCUUGUUGGGAGUUUUCUCGAAUGUGAGUAAAUGUUGGGCAUGUUUGCUAGUCUACCUUGCCACGAAGCACAGAGGUUGACACACAGGGACUUUCCAAUUAUCCAGCAGUAGUACUGUUCCUUUACCCUUGUGGGUAAUAAUAUGGUAGCUAGGCCUUCAAAAUUUAUGUGUCUAAACUUUGUUAGUGCUGUUUCUUUACUAUUCUUUUACCCUUCUUGGUUAGAGCGAUGUAGUAGGAGCUGCAAGCUUCACGUGCUCAACUUUGGCAAAGUUAUCUGUGGUACCCAUGAGCUAUUGUUGCGUGUGGGAAGUGGGUGAUUGAGCAGUAAGGUUCAUGUGCUUUCUACUUUACCAGAAGUCUUCGACAGAAUGCCCAUAAUUUCCGCAAAGCUGAGUGUGCGUGUGACAGGUGCUGACAAGGCUGGAAAAGUAGGUGCCUCUUCGAUUUCUGAGAUCGGCCCUCGUGGUCUCUGAGUAGCCCAGCUUUUGAGAAAGCGAGCGCCUCUUCGAUUUCUGAGAUUGGCCUUCGUGGUCUUUGAGCAGCCCAGCUUUUGAGAAAGCAAACGCCUCUUCGAUUUCUGAGAUCAACCCUCGUGGUCUCUGAGCAGCCCAGCUUUUGAGAAAGCAAACGUCUCUUCGAUUUCUGAAGCUCCGUCGAGUGCAGAUUUUUAUAGGGGCUGGCAUUAAGUUCUAAAGCACACUUGAAAUCCACCAGUAGAAGCUCCAUUCUUGCACUUCUAAGAUCUUGAUUUGUCUGACCUCUUCUCUCUUCAACACCUUUGAAAAUGUCUGGACCUUCCGACCGUCGUUUUGACUUGAAUCUUGUUGAAGAGGCAGCUCCGCCUUUUCCAGACAACAUAUGGCGCCCAUCUUUCGUCUCCCCUACUGGUCCUCUUACCGUUGGGGAUUCCGUAAUGAAGAAUGAUAUGACCGCUGCGGUGGUGGCCAGGAACCUUCUCACUUCCAAAGAUAACAGACUACUUUCCAAACGGUCUGAUGAGUUAGCUGUUAAGGAUUCGCUGGCUCUCAGUGUUCAGUGUGCAGGUUCUGUGUCUAAUAUGGCCCAACGCCUAUUUGCUCGAACCCGCCAAGUUGAAUCAUUGGCGGCUGAAGUGAUGAGUCUCAAACAGGAGAUUAGAGGGCUUAAGCAUGAGAAUAAACAGUUGCACCGGCUCGCCCAUGACUAUGCUACAAACAUGAAGAGGAAGCUUGACCAGAUGAAGGAAUCUGAUGGUCAGGUUUUACUUGAUCAUCAGAGAUUUGUGGGUUUGUUCCAAAGGCAUUUAUUGCCUUCAUCUUCUGGGGCUGUACCGCGUAAUGAAGCUCCAAAUGAUCAACCUCUGAUGCCUCGUCCUUCUAGGAUUCUGUCCAGUACUGAGGCUCCGAAUGAUCCCCCUCCGGUGCCUUCUCUUUCUGGGGCUCUACCGACUGCUGAGACUUCUCCUAAGCAACCUUUGUGAAGACUCCCUCUUGUUUGUUUAUUUUGACUUAUGUAUAUGUACAUAUUUGUAUCUUAUCGGGAAUAUCAAUAAAUAAGCUUUCCUUCAUUUCAACGUUUGUGUUAAAUACACCAAAGCCUUAUUCGCUAAGUUCUUUGAAUUUUGUUUUAUUGAAGCUUGUAUGUUGAAGCUUUGUGAGUGGAGUAUGUAGGUUGAGGUAGUGUUCCCUUAAUUUCCCGAAUGAGGAAAACUUCUCGGUUGGAGACUUGGAAAAUCCAAGUCACUGAGUGGGAUCGGCUAUAUGAAUCUUAGAACGCCAUUGUGCUCGGUCCUGUGUCAUGUCCUUCAUUAGAUCCAAGUACUCUAAGUCUUUUCUUAGAGUCUCUUCCAAAGUUUUCCUAGGUCUUCCUCUACCCCUUCGGCCCUGAACCUCUGUCCCAUAGUUGCAUCUUCUAAUCGGAGCGUCAGUAGGCCUUCUUUGCACAUGUCCAAACCACCGUAACCG